rnacentral:lncRNA from 1 species
CAUCUGAUAGUGAUUUUUUGAUUUGUUUUUGAGAACUUGGGUUGCAUUAUUAAUUUUUUGACAAAAGAACACUUUGAAAACUUCUGUGUUUCUGCCUCAUUUCUAUUCUUCUGAAUCCAAUUGUGCAGAUCUUUCCCUGGAGAUUUACAUGCACACAAACUUGCCAUCCUAAAAUCAACAGCACACUGAUGUUUUUAUUCAAGCAGCAUACUGUCUGUAUGCUUCCUACAGAGGGUUAACGCGCCCGCUGAACCGGAUGUGAUUCUUUCUCCGUCUCACUGUUGUGUUGUCGUUGCACGGCCAAUGGCGGACGGUGCCUGAACAUUUAUCUGAAAAACGUACGUUUCGCUCAAAUAUACUUGAACAUCGAUCGGCCAUUUAAAGCUUUUCGAUCGCACGUGUGUUUUGGCCCGUCAGCAUGGAUGUGAAUUUGACCAUCUCUCUGAUGCGGGGCCAGAUGGGCGCUGUUAUCGAGAACGCCGUGAACGUCGCGGUGGAGACCGUGCUAGGAGAGAUGAUCCGGGUGGUCGGGCUCAAAUUUGAGGAGAUCAAACGGGAGAUGACAGCUAAAGAGAAGGAGAACGAGAACAUCAGGAGGAUGUUGGAGACGUCCCGCUGUCAGAUGAAAACCAUGCGCAAGUACAUCAGCGUCCUGUCUGCUAAAGAGCCCAACCACAGACAGUAUCAGGGAGAUGGAGACAUGGCAGCAACAUCCACAGGGAUGCACUGCAGAAGAGGGCCGAUGAGCAAUCCCCCAAAGCCCUGUCCCUGUCCCAGACCUAGAGUCUCUGAGCCAGCCCCUGUAACGUUCGCUGGACCCUCAUGGGUGAGACAGCAGAUGCACAUGUCCAAAGAAACAUUGAGACGUGAGCAUCACAUUCCUGAGGUCAACAUUGAAGAGACACAUGGAUCAACAGUUCAUAAAGUUGAGAACUCAAGCUCUCAUCUGGUGGACAGUCAGGCGCUUCUGUCUGAGACCAUUGAUCCAAUCUGGGGUCAGGACCCUCUCGCCUCUGCAGAGACUGGACACACAGACAUGCUGGACAGCAGCGUCCUCUCUGCACCCAUGAUGGCAGAUGAAAAUGUGUCAUCCCAAACGACAAGCACAUUGACCUUUGGAGCACCGUCACUUAAAAUCAAACAGGAGGAGGCGGAGGUUGAAAUAGUCUGUGUGAAAGAUGAACCCACAGAAGCUGGAAGCAUACAUACAUUUGAAUAUUCCAACGCUGAACUUCACCAGCCAGCGGAAGAACCAGAGCUCGGGGUCUCACUAGAUCUACAUGCAUCAUUUCAAGCUCUUCAGAGUCCAAGCACUUCAGCAGACCUUGCAAUCCCAGCAUUCAUCAGUGUGGACCCAACUACCUCUAUGUCGGACGCAAGUCCAGAGAGUUUUGAAAAUAAUCAAUGUACAGGUAAGUUUGAUAAUUUUAUCAUAGACAAUUAAACUCAUAUAUUUUUAAAUAAUUACCAUUUUACAAAUGGCAGUUUCCAGCUAAAUCACCUGUGGUAUUGCAGCUGUAGAGAGGGCUAUUCUUGAGUCACAGGGAGAAAUGAACUGGAAAAUCAAUCACCUGACUGCACUGGUUCAGUGCCUUGUAGGGAACAAGCACUGUA